rnacentral:rRNA from 1 species
GACGAACCGUGCAAACGUUGUUCGGAAUCACUGGGCUUAAAGGGCGCGUAGGCGGGCUCCCAAGUCGGUGGUGAAAUCUUUCGGCCCAACCGGAAAAGUGCCGCCGAUACUGGGAGUCUCGAGGGAGGUAGGGGUCGAGGGAACUUCCGGUGGAGCGGUGAAAUGCGUAGAUAUCGGAAGGAACGCCGGUGGCGAAAGCGCUCGACUGGACCUCUUCUGACGCUGAGGCGCGGAAGCCAGGGGAGCAAACGGG